rnacentral:rRNA from 1 species
UACGGAGGGUGCAAGCGUUAAUCGGAAUUACUGGGCGUAAAGCGCACGUAGGUGGUUUUCUAAGUCAGCUGUGAAAUCCCCGGGCUCAACCUGGGACUUGCAGUUGAAACUGGAAAGCUAGAGUAGGGUAGAGGGUGUGGAAUUCCAGGUGUAGCGGUGAAAUGCGUAGAUAUCUGGAGGAACAUCAGUGGCGAAGGCGACACCCUGGACUCAUAACUGACACUGAGGUGCGAAGCGUGGGAGCAAACAGG